CGAAAGUUACGCUAAUACCGCAUAUUCUGUGAGCAGGAAAGCAGGGGAUCGCAAGACCUUGCGCUGAUUGAGCGGCCGAUACUCAGAUUAGCUAGUUGGUGGGGUAAAGGCCUACCAAGGCUACGAUCUGUAGCGGGUCUGAGAGGAUGAUCCGCCACACUGGAACUGAGACACGGUCCAGACUCCUACGGGAGGCAGCAGGUGGGGUAAUUUUGGACAAUGGGGGCAACCCUGAUCCAGCCAUGCCGCGUGAGUGAAGAAGGCCUUCGGGUUGUAAAGCUCUUUCGGCCGGGAAGAAAUCGCACAGGUUAAUACCCUGUGUGGAUGACGGCACCGGAAUAAGAAGCACCGGCUAACUACGUG
rnacentral:rRNA from 1 species